UACGGAGGGUGCAAACGUUGCUCGGAAUCAUUGGGCGUAAAGCGCACGUAGGUGGUCUGUUAAGUCUGAUGUGAAAGCCCUGGGCUCAACCCAGGAAGUGCAUCGGAAACUGGCAGGCUUGAGUAUGGAAGAGGGUCGCGGAAUUCCCGGUGUAGAGGUGAAAUUCGUAGAUAUCUGGAAGAACACCCGUGGCUAAGGCGGCUCUCUAGUACGGUACUGACGCUGAGACGCGAAAGCGUGGGGAGCGAACAGG
rnacentral:rRNA from 1 species